AUAGAUGAAAAUAUGCUAUUCCAGCGAAAGCCUUGGCAAGGCAUUCUGUGGAUGAUAUUCUGGCUUCUGAAGACUUGUCAUUGCUACAGCAACACCGAGAUGCAUUGGCACUCUUCAAUCCAGAGGAUGGGCCAUCAACGCACAAAAGUGGAAGGCUUGGACUAGCUGCAAAGUUCCUAUGGAUCACUUGGCCUGUCCAGGGUAGGAAAUGGAAUCUUAACAACUAUCACACGAGCUUUGAGGGGAUCCUUCUCCAGAUGAGCCUUCAGUUGCGACCUCAGCCUUGGACAUCAUCUGCAUCUGGAUUCCUGACCCAGAGCAACUGAAUUUUAUGGAACCUUGUAUUCUGUUGAAUACCAGAAUUAUAUCAGCAAUCCCCAAGUCACCAAAUGGGCAUCAUCAUGACAGCAGGUGGGUGGAAUACAAAAGAAAAAAAUAUAUAUAUAUGUAUGUAUGUGUGUCUAUAUAUAUAUGUAUGUGUAUAUAUAUGUGUGUGUUUGUUAAAAAAUUGCUGUUGAUAUUUUAAAGGUUUCAAAUAAUUCAUCAGUGAAUUCUCCUCAACCUGGUCAAUCAUGUGAACUUAGAAGAUGAUUCCUCCCCAGCUGAUCCUCAGGUGAGACCUCAGCCUUGGCCAUCAUCUAUAUCUGGAUUCCUGACCCAGAGAAACUGGAACACUAAGGCCCAUUCUUCCUCUCAAGUAUCCAGAAAUAAAGUUGCUCCAAGUAACAAGUGGACAGCAUAAAAGAUUGUAUGGAAACUAUAAUGCAUCUACAUCUGCAGUAACUAAUCAUAAAAUGAUUUGUAUGAUCAUUCUUCACAUGAUUAGAAUUACUAUGGGAAAGAAGAAAAAGAAA
ensembl:lncRNA PWRN1 Prader-Willi region non-protein coding RNA 1